rnacentral:rRNA from 1 species
GACGAACGCUGGCGGCGUGCUUAACACAUGCAAGUCGAACGGUGAAGCGCCUUCCUUUUUGGUGGGUGUGGAUGAGUGGCGAACGGGUGAGUAACACGUGAGUAACCUGCCCCCUUCUUCUGGAUAACCGCAUGAAAGUGUGGCUAAUACGGGAUAUUCUGGGUCUGUCGCAUGAUGGGUCUGGGAAAGAUAUUGUUUCGGUGGGGGAUGGGCUCGCGGCCUAUCAGCUUGUUGGUGGGGUGAUGGCCUACCAAGGCGGUGACGGGUAGCCGGCCUGAGAGGGUGGACGGUCACACUGGGACUGAGACAAGGCCCAGACUCAUACGGGAGGCAGCAGUGGGGAAUAGUGCACAAUGGGCGAAAGCUUGAUGCAGCGACGCCGCGUGAGGGAUGGAGGCCUUCGGGUUGUGAACCUCUUUCGCCAGUGAAGCAGGCCUGCCUCGUUUGUGGGUGGGUUGACGGUAGCUGGAUAAGAAGCGCCGGCUAACUACGUG